UUGGAUUGAAGUUUUUGGUUCUUCUGCCAGAGACGUGGCUAAGCAGCUCAAGGAACAACAAAUGGUGAUGUCGGGAUAUAAGAUAUUCAAACCUACAAAAGGAACUUGACCACAACAUACCAACUGCAGCUGCGUUUGGUGGGAUGUGCACUGAGCAAGCACAGCAACAAGCUGGAAUAAAGACCUUGUAGUAACACAUUCACUAUGGUUCCCUAUUGCUUCCCAGUUGCCAUGGUGAAUGUUUGGAAAUUCAGGACAACUAACCAGGUUCGUUCUUUUACAUUAUGAUUCAUGGCAUAACUUAGGUAGGGAUGAAAGGUUGAUAUAUUUGUAUUUAUGAUAAUGUUUUGUAGGCCUCGCCACUUGUCAUGUUAAGAAGUGAAAGGUUUCAUCAGCACAUUUACUCCAUAUUUACCAAAUUUCUUUAAAAAGAGGCAAGCACCCUUUAGGUCUAGUUGUAAUUCUUACUAUAUCUUUUGCAUUUAUUAAAUCUAUAGUUUCCACCUUCCUCCCGAUUGGAAUAGACUCCAUUGUUGGUAAACUGCACAAACAGUUGGUGUGGGCAAAGUAAGACUCUUUUUAUCAAACUAUCAAAAGGAUUUGAUAUAUUUGACAAAAGUCCAGCAAAUUAAUGCAAGUGAAGCUUGAAUGCAAUUUUGCCUGGCUGA